rnacentral:rRNA from 1 species
GUAAACGGCGGCCGUAACUAUAACGGUCCUAAGGUAGCGAAAUUCCUUGUCAGGUAAGUUCUGACCCGCACGAAAGGCGUAACGAUUUGGGCGCUGUCUCAGCUGUAGACUCGGUGAAGUCUUAGUACCUGUGAAGAUGCAGGUUACCCGCGACUAGACGGAAAGACCCCAUGGAGCUUCACUGCAGGUUGAUAUUGGGAUUUGAUGCAGCAUGUACAGGAUAGGUAGGAGGCAAAGAGAUGGAUACGCCAGUAUUCAAGGAGCCGCUGUUGGGAUACUACCCCUGUUGUAUUGGAUUUCUAACCGGACGACGUAGAGCCGUUGACGGGACAGUGUCAGUCGGGCAGUUUGACUGGGGCGGUCGCCUCCCAAAGAGUAACGGAGGCGCCCAAAGAUACCCUCAGCUUGGAUGGAAACCAAGCGCAGAGUGCAAAGGCAAAAGGGUGUUUGACUGCGAGACCCACAAGUCGAGCAGGGACGAAAGUCGGGCUUAGUGAUCCGGCGGUGCUGAAUGGAAAGGCCGUCGCUCAACGGAUAAAAGCUACCCUGGGGAUAACAGGCUGAUCUCCCCCAAGAGUUCACAUCGACGGGGAGGUUUGGCACCUCGAUGUCGGCUCAUCGCAUCCUGGAGCUGAAGUCGGUUCCAAGGGUUGGGCUGUUCGCCCAUUAAAGCGGUACGCGAGCUGGGUUCAGAACGUCGUGAGACAGUUCGGUCCCUAUCUGUCGUGGGCGCAGGAAAUUUGAGAAGAGCUGUCCUCAGUACGAGAGGACCGGGAUGGACGCAUCAAUGGUGGACCAGUUGUCACGCCAGUGGCAUAGCUGGGUAGCUAAAUGCGGAAGGGAUAAACGCUGAAGGCAUCUAAGUGUGAAACCCACUUCAAGAUGAGAUUUCCCAUUGCGCAAGCAAGUAAGACCCCUUAAAGACGAUAAGGUAGAUAGGUCAGGAGUGUAAGCAUGGUGACAUGUUAAGCGGACUGAUACUAAUAGGUCGAGGGCUUGACCGA